rnacentral:rRNA from 1 species
UGCUCCUACGGGGCGCAGCAGUGGGGAAUAUUGCACAAUGGGGGAAACCCUGAUGCAGCGACGCCGCGUGGGCGAGGAAGUACCUCGGUAUGUAAAGCCCUAUCAGCAGGGAAGAAACAGGACAGUACCUGACUAAGAAGCCCCGGCUAACCACGUGCCAGCAGCCGCGGUAAUACGUAUGGAGCAAGCGUUAUCCGGAUUUACUGGGUGUAAAGGGAGCGCAGACGGCAGGGCAAGUCUGAUGUGAAAGUCCGGGGCUCAACCCCGGGACUGCAUUGGAAACUGUCCGGCUAGAGUGCAGGAGG